rnacentral:rRNA from 1 species
CCUACGGGGGGCUGCAGUGGGGAAUAUUGGACAAUGGGGGCAACCCUGAUCCAGCCAUGCCGCGUGUGUGAAGAAGGCCCUCGGGUUGUAAAGCACUUUCAGUGAGGAAGAACGCCUGGUGGUUAAUACCCAUCAGGAAAGACAUCACUCACAGAAGAAGCACCGGCUAACUCCGUGCCAGCAGCCGCGGUAAUACGGAGGGUGCGAGCGUUAAUCGGAAUUACUGGGCGUAAAGCGCGCGUAGGUGGCUUGAUAAGCCGGUUGUGAAAGCCCCGGGCUCAACCUGGGAACGGCAUCCGGAACUGUCAAGCUAGAGUGCAGGAGAGGAAGGUAGAAUUCCAGGUGCAGCGGUGAAAUGCGUAGAGAUCGGGAGGAAUACCAGUGGCGAAGGCGGCCUUGUGGACUGACCCUGACCCUGAGGUGCGAAAGCGUGGGUAGCAAACAGGACUAGAUACCCUGGUAGUC